rnacentral:lncRNA from 1 species
UCUCCUUCAAACAUCUAAUAGAGCUAGACUAGAGACACUUCAGCAAAAAAAAAUCCAUUACAAUAGCUGCAGCAAAACGAAUACAGAAACAUACAAGGGUUAGAAGGGUGUAAAUGCCCAUAGGUAGUGGAUAUGCAAUCUAGGAAUAGUAUUGUUGAAUGGUUGGGCAAGUAUUCCGAUCAAUGAAUAAGGAAACACGUGGACUUAAUUCCACAAAUUAUGUGUUUUUCUAUGUGACCAGGGAAUGCAUAACGACGACAAAAUGAAUGAAAUCUUCACUUUCUAUUUAUGUUGUCGAUAGAUAGUGAAAAUAACAUUGAAUUAUUAGAUGCCUUAGUGCUGGACUGAGCAAAGUCACUAACUGAGCCAAAUCUGAACUGAUUGGAAAAACUUCUGUUAAUAGAAAAUUUUCUAGAUCACAGACUUACCACAAAUACAACAUUUGUGAUGGAGCCAACUUCGCUCGUCACAAGACGUUGUGCAAAUACAACCUGGUCUACAAUCUCUGCAGUAGUCAGAUGUCUCUUCAAACCCAUCCUAAAAAUUGGAUUAUGCAUCAAGAAGAUGUACCUUGUAGAAAGUAACAAUAGCAAUAAUACAGAUACAAAUAAGAAAGAUAUAAAGCUUACAUGCCAGUGUAGGAGAACUGACAAUUCAUGGCACAGCCCACUUGACUUGAAACACAAACUGUCGUCCUACCUCUAUCAGAAGGUAUGACGACUGUUUCAAUUAACAGUUCAUCAUCCAACCUAAAUAAAAUCUGCAAGCUCCUGUGAGUUUCAAAACCAAUGAGAAGAUAAUGCAACUGCUAAAAGCAAUAUAUCGGACCAGAAUAAAGUGACUUCGAGACCAAAAAUACAACAAAUAAUGGUUUUGGCUACCUUCUUAGCUCCAUCAGAUGCAGUACGAACAUUUUCCAAAUAUAUUGCCUUAUAUUCUGCGUGUUCACUCAACAUUUUCCUAAAAUCCUUAUUCAAACCUGAAUAAGGUUAUCAAAGACAAAUUCAUAAGGCUCAGCAUGUCUCUCUUGUUGGAAGAGAGAUUCAAUUUUGCACAUAGAUAGGGACAUCAAAGGGAGAUAAAAUCAUUUAGCUCACUGAAAAGGCUAUAAAAUCAGACAAUAGAUAGCAUUUCAGAGACAAGGUGGUGUAAGAAUACCUUCUAGUUCAUCAACAUAAUGCGCCCAAAUAUCUUCCCCAUAAAGACGCUUAGCAUCAUAGCUUGGCCAGGUCUGAAUCCAUGAGAUUGAACCCAUUUCUGGCAUAGUGGAUUCCCACAAUUAUUACUUGGAAAACUUUAACAUAAAAUUAUACAUAAAUUCUCAUGUUUGGAAUAUUAGAAUUCAUUUUGAAUUUCUAGUCUAGCUAGCUUGUACCACAGUUUAAAAUUAAAUACUUUUUUGAGUUUAGCAUAGGAAGAAAAAGAGAGUAGAAAAACAGACUUCAAGCUCAGUGUAAUUCAUUCCCUUAAGAAGCACCUUUGAACCCUUGGUUAGAAUAGCAUUCAUGUCUCUACUUCCUACACAAAUAAACAGCCACAAAACAAAUAAAUAAACAAAAUGGGAGCUCCAAAAACAACAUAUGUUACUAGGAAACGAUUUAUCUGCUUACCCAUAUCAACAGGAAGUAGUGACGAUGAACAAGCGGCGGUAGAAACGGAACGAGGAGAUGGAGAUUGGGCGGUGGCGGUGAUGAAGAGAGUUCUUUUAGAGAGGAAAGAGAGAGAUGAGAUCGAUUAGGGUAAGUAAUUGAGAGCGAAGCGGAUGAGGAGGCCAUUGAAGGGUGAUUUACAAGAACCACUGACCGCACGCGCCCCAUCCACAUACAACCCAUCUCCAUUCUCCGAUUUCUCGUAGCCCGAAAGUAUAACAUGUUCAUUUGAUGAAAAUAUAUACAAGCUCUCUUACAUAAUACUUAUAUGAAAAUAACUUAUAUCCGAAAAUAUCUUAUUUCAAAAUACAUAUGAGUCGUAAGAAGUAAUAAAUAUUUUUUUAUUUAUUCUUUAUAUAUAAUCAAUAAUUAUUAUUUUAAUUUAAUAAUUUUUUAUAAAAUUAAUAUUAAAUUAAAAAUAAUAUAGUCAAUUUAUUUAAUAAUUUAUUAUAAUUUAGACACAUUUCAUAAUUUUCUUAAGAAAUAUGAAAUUUAUGACAAGUAUUAUUGACCAGAAAUUGUAUGAAAUAGUUAAACUAACAAGGUUCAAUUGGUUUUCUGGGUACAGUUAUUGGUUCGGUUUGAACCAUAAUCAAAUUGUACUGUGCAUGAACUAAAACCGAAUUGCAUAGUUGAUUCAAAAUUUUGAACUAGAACUGGGGUUCACCGACUGGUUCAAUCCAUGUCAAUACGUUAAAAAAUAAACCUGAAUUGGUAUCGUUGGUCCAAAAUUUUAAAUCAUAAUUGGAUGUUCAAAGACUAGUUCCAAUCCAUGUCAAUGUUAAAAAAUAAACCUGAAUCGGAAUGGAAUUGACGAUUCCAGUCCGGUUAAACAGAAAUUUAUAAUCAUCUACUCAUAAAUAAAAUUUUCAUGAUACACUUGACUUAAAAAGUCUAAAAAAGUAAAAUUAGCAACAAAAAAAAAAAAAAGUUAAAUACUAAUUCAAAUUUAUUCUGCAUGAAAGUUUAACAGUGUUUUUUCCUUCUAAAUUUUUUUCUUAGUCCAAAAUUACAUUAUUUAAAAUAUUUUUUAAAAUUUAUCUAACAAAUUAUUUAAUUAAUAACAUUUAGAUAAAAUAAAAUAAAAUAAAAUUUUGAUUUAUUUGAUUAUUUCAUGUUUAUUUGUAAAGCUAAUGAAUUCUAUUUUUUAUACGAAUAUAAGUACUCUACCAGUUGUUUAAAAUAAAAUUUACAAAUAUUUGUUCAAAUUCACAUUAAUUUUUUCCUUAAAAUGACGUAAUCCUAGAAAUGAAUGUCUAUUAUUUUUUUUCCUUGAAGAAAAAUAAUAUGUAUAUCAUUGGAAACCAUGACUGGAGCCGAGACUCCAGAUCAAUGGUUCAAGAGCGGUUUAAGUUCAAAAUUUUAAAAAUCGUAAAAGAUCUUUUAACUAUAAGAGUUCUGUGCAUUGGACUAGGAGAAUUCCAACCCAUCUCGUCUCAAAAAAUGGAUUUUUUUUCUUUUUUUUUAUAAACUUCAAAUUAUGUUUAUGAAAAUAACUUUGAUCCUUCCUUGUUAAUAUAAUAUGGAAAAAAUAAUAUGAAUUUUCAAAAUAUAAAAUGGACAACUAAUUAAACAUAUUUUUCAAUAUAAAAUUUUCCUUUAUUAUUCUAUUAAAUGUGUUAAGUACAUGUCUUUGAAUAGAUUGAUAUAAUAAGUUGAUAUAUUGGUCCGAUGUUCUAAAAUUAUAACAAAAUCCUUCAAUUAAGCUAUAGGUGCCCUAGUGGCUAUGGAAUUUUGAGGUAUCCAAAUGGACGAUGGCAAACGUUUGGAAGAUAAUUUCUCCAAAUUCAAAGUUACUUAUCUUCAACGACCAAAAUCCGAAGACAAGUUGCAUAGCAUCAAGGAUUCUCCUUUCUCCUUUGGUCUGCCUAGAUGACCAUUUUUCUUUCUCCUUCAAGCGUACAAUCUGUCCCCACAUUUGUUUCUGAAGAUUGUUUCUACAUCAAGAUGGUCCUUUCUCCUUACCAAGCAUAGACGAUGAAUCCAACUCUCAUGGCCUGUCUUCAUUUUCGACGAAAGAAAAAAUAAUUAAACAAAAGAACUGAUAUAUGUUUAACCAGAAAGGAAGAACUAAAAGAUGAAGAUUCUCAAACCACGAUUUAAUCAAGUGUAAAAAACCAUGGAGGCAAUGUUCAAGAAUUAAUCACCUAGGAUUAAACCUUUCAACCACAUUUACUAACCAUGGAGCGUUGACUAGAAACAUGAAUUAAUCUGGAAAAAGUGGGAUUCAAAUCACUUGAUUGUAUAAAAGGAGCACCAAAAUCUAAAACCAGUAUUCAAAAGUUAAAGAAAGCUAAACUGAUUAACUCUUUACAAAACAAUUUUUUUUUAAACAGAACCAAUCAAAUAUCAACAACUCAUUUCUCAUACAGAUGAAAUUCAUUCAACAUAAUAAAAAACUGAAAACAGAAUCAUAAAAUUAUGAAUAUUUUUUAGAGGCUCUGAUUGUGCAUUUGUCAAACAAAUGGGGUAAUAAAAAAAAAAAAAAAAAACUAUGGUAGCAAUCACAGAAGAUAGUAACAGAAACAGAAAUGGAAGUUUCUAAAGGAUGAUCAGUUUCACAGUAGCAAAGCACAUAUUAACAAAACCAAGAUUAAUACCAAUCCAACAUGGAAUUUGAAACAUGGAAAUAAAAUAAAAAGAAGCUGCCCCACCACAGUUUUUGUCCCUUCAAAAUGCUUAAUUUAUAUUUAACAUCGUCACAGCCGACAAUAACUCAAUAUUUAAGUAAAGCUGAAAUUUUCAAUUUUUUAUGAUAAUUUCAGAAAAAAAAAAAAUCAUCAGAUUUAAUUAAUUUAAUCUUUUUUUAAUCAAAUUCAGGAUUCAAUCAUUUACGGUAACUAUACAAAAUAGCACAUUUUCAAUCGAUAUGUAACUAGAGAGCUACAUUAUUUUAAAAACGAAUUACAUAGAUAAAUCAUCGUGAUCUUCUAUGACAUAACGUCUUAUGAUUUCAAUGAUUUUGUUGAAUGUCUAUUGUAGUUUGCUAAUUAAACGGUAGAUCUAUUGUUGUGAAUUAUAUAUUACUUUCGCGAACAAGAAGGCUCAUAAGAUUAAAAUAAUCCAACCAAAAAUUAAUAAGGAUAAACAAAGUUGCAUAAAUCUUAUAAACUUAGCAAUAAUUGCAAAAUGGGUAAAAAGUUUGGAAGAGGUUUGAAUAAUCUUUCAUGAAUUGUAAUAAAGAUUGAUAGCUUGAAAUGAUACAGAAGUUAAACAAGUGUGCUCGGUCUUGCCAUGAAUGAAAUACUGAAAAACUUUAUUCCAUUGACUUUAUUCCACACACGAUGCUAUUGUGUUGGUCGGGCGAAUUUUUUGUUUUUGUUCUUAGUUUUAAAGAUGAAAAAUCACGAUGCCUAUAUAAAAAUUAAAAUAAAAGAAUCCCAGUAACCUUAUUAAAACUAAAUUAUAUAUUGUGGCUCCUGUUUUUUUGCUGUGUUGAACCUACUCUUUUUCACUCUUUAUAUAUUGCAUUAUUUUAUUUUAUUUUGUUGUUGCAUUGCUUUUAAUUUUUUUUUUUCCCCGUAAAGAAUAGAAUGUUAUCUCACAUUAUGGAUUGAAUAAAACAAUACUUGUUUCUUCGCAUUUAUCCAUAUCAAUAGGAAUAUGUACAUGGAUUAAAUUAUGCAUGGAGAAAGAAAAUCUCAACGCAACUUAUGUAGCCGUUAAGCCUUUCUUCGUCAAAAGCCCUUUCUCUAUUAAAAUUUUAAAUUUUUUGAAUUUUUUUUAUUGCUCAGCUCAAUUUAUCCUCUCUUUCCUUCUGUGCCUUCCGCCCGGACUGACAAAGAAUGUUAUGAAUACGUACUUCAUAGUGAUUCACGGGCAAUUUAUCCAUAUAGAUAAAUAAACCAUUUAGCUUUAUUGCUUUAAAAUAGUGAUUUUCAUUUUAAUUUUAAUUUAUCCAAUAUUUUACUUUAUAAAAUUAUUUUAUUAAAUGUUUUAAUUUACAUAUUUGUGUGAAUGCAUGCGACAUGCAAUAAUUAACAUUCGUUAUUAAACUCACAUCUUUUGAUUAACCUUUUUAGGAAGUAGAAUUUUUCUUGACCCGGUAAAGCUCCGCUUCCUUCACUGCAGAGCUAGAAAAGAAUUCUCUAGAUUUAGUAUUAAUUCAUGAAAUAGAUAAACGUACAAAAUUUAUUUGUAUUUAUCUGUUAGUGAACUUCGCAGUUGUAAAAUUUAUAUACCUUAGGCUGUGUAUUAUUAUAGAUGUAAUAAUUUUAUGAGGCCAUAUGAUAAACGUAAUGUGUUACAAUUUGAGCUCGAUCUACGAAAUGUUUAAAAUGUUAAAUUGGGCCAAAGAAUAAUAUAUUUUUGAGAUAAUUGAAUUUUUGCCCAUGGUAUUAUGGGCUAGUCAUUUGAAAUUUAUUUUGAGAUGGUUGAAUUUUAGUAGUUCAGGUUUCCUACAGGCCUCGGGGCCUUAUGCUUACCUGAGCCUUAGUGCCAGUCCCGGCUAUGAAAACGGAUCGUGACAAGUAGCAAGAGUGAAAAUUGCAAAAUUAAUUAGUAAAUUUAUAUAUUCAAUAUCUUUUCAAGAUUUUAAAUAAUGUUUCCUUGGCAUUUUUUAAUUGUAAAUAUUAUUACGGUAUUAUAUAAAUAUUUUUUGUUAAGAGCUGAAAUAAUGUCCUAAAUUAAAUAAUAAUGCCAUUGCAAAAUUAAUAUAUACUAAAAUUUUAUCUUAAUCUAUUUUUGCCCACCACUAAAUAUUAAAAAUUAUUAAUAUUUUUGUUUAUUUCUAUAAUGAGAAGUGAGUGUUUAAUUAUAAGAGUAGUUACUAAUUUGGUAAGGAUUGUUAAAAAGAAAAUAUUACUUUUUGUUAUAUAAUUUAUAAUAUUAUUUUGAUCCAUUCAAUUUUUACUAAAUGAAAAAAGAGAAAAUUAUCUAUAUUUAUAAUGAAAAAUAAAGAAAAUUUUAAAAGUCAAAAAUGAAAAACGAAAAUUGUUGCAACUAUCAACAUAAAUGGCAUGAUAAUGAUAUAGAAAUUGGAUAAGAAUAUGUAUAUUGAAUAAUUAUUCUAUAGUUUAAAUAAAAUAAUUAAUAAUUUUUCUAUAGUUUAAAUAAAAUAAUUAAUAAUUUCAUAUAUUCCUGAAAUCUUACCCUUAAAAUAAAAAUUUAAAUAUGCAAUUAUUGUGGGACUAAAUAUAAUUCACAAAAAUUAAUCAUGUAAAACUAUUUUACUAUUAAGUACUUAUUGUAUAUGUACACUAAUAAGUUCUAAAAUUUAAAACAUUUUGAGUAUUUUAAAGAGUAAGUAAAAUAUCUUUUCUCAUUUUAUAUUUAUUCAUUAUAUUUUCAUAUAUUACUUUUAGUUUUAAUAAAUGAUAAUUUAAUUAAAUUACUAUUGAUUUUAUUGUAAUUUAAAAAAUCAAUUACUUUUUAAUCUUUAUAAAAAUUUUAAAUGAUUUAUAUUUUGAAAUAAAAAAACAGUUAAAUCAGUGAAAAUAAAUUAUAUAUCCAAUCAAAUUUCCUGCAAUAUAAAAACUCAUAAAUUUGGAAUCACUGCUGUUACCGGAAUACCAUCCAGCUUGAACAUUUAAAAAAAAAAAAAACCAAAAGAAAAGAAAACCCGUAUAUAUAUUUUAUUAUGUCAUUAAAUAGGUGAUAGGCUAUUGGAUGGCGUAAGCUAAACAAAGAUAACAGACAUGACCAGUGCAUCUCAAUCAAAGGCAUUAGAGACUAGAGAGUCUAUAUCAGCUCUGAAAGUGCAGAGUAUUUUUGUUGAAGGCAACUUUUUAUUCUAAUUGAAGUUUUUGGUUUGGACAAAUUAAAUUAUGAGAAAUGGGAAAGAUGCAGCUUUAAUUGAUCUCAACGCGCUUCCCUUGCUUUAAAAGUUUCUUGCUAGGAAAUUAAUUACUUUGCGUUCCUUAAUCUGUAGCUCUUUUUUUUUUUUUUUUUUUUUUUUUUUUUUUUUUUUUAUCAUUGGAAUAGUGUCCAGCCCUUAAAACUGAUCGGGGGACAUGUGUAAUUCUACUCUCUACCUGGAGUCCAUAUAAAUUGGGCAAAUUUUCAAUACACAUGUUAUGAUAUAUGAGCAUUGACGUUAAGCUCAAAUAUGGAUUAAUUAACUGCUUGUACGCUCCUAAGAAUCGAACAUAAAAUGACGAGAAAUUUAUCCAGCAUGGUUUCCCUUAGACUAACCCCAUGCUUCCCUUAGACUAACCCUUUGGGGAUAAUCUUACAAUUAACAUCCUAAAUCCAGCUAGUUUCUUGUUAGGACAUUAUUUAAUUUAUAAUAAAUAAUUUAUGGACAUUAUUUUUUGUUAGGACAUCCUCAAUGCUUUAAUUUAUAAAAUUACAUUUAUUAAACAGUUUAAUUUGCAAAAUAAAUUAGUUAAAUAUCUAUUAAAUAAUUGAUAAGUAAAAAUUAGUAUUUCAAAAGUUAUGCUAAACUACAUAUCGAAUUGAUAUUCUGCAGAUAAGAGCCAAAAAUUUUAAAAACUAUUGUUAUUAGUGUGAAAAUAUGUAUAAUAGUUAAAAUUGCAAAGUUUAUAGAUCUAUACAUUCAGACUUUCUCAAGAUUUUAAAUAAUAUUUACUUUGGCAAUUUUCAAUUCUAAAAAUUAUUACAGUUUAUUAUAAAUUUUUUGUUAGGAGUCGAUUGCCAAAUAUACAACAUGCAGGUUUCCUUUCCUUUUUUUAUUAUAUAUAUAUUUUUUAUUUUAUGGCUUUCAAAGAAGAAAUAAUGUCAAAAAAAAUGCUAAAUUGAAUCCGGCGAAAAACAAAUACAAAAACAAAAAAGAGAAUAAAAACCAGACACGGAUUGCUCAGAGUUGAAAUUCUGCCGCAUAUUUAGAGUUGCCUCUCAUUACCGGAUCACUUCCAAUGAUGCAUCAUAGUAAAACCAAUAAUUGAUCAAAGUUCCAAUGGGUGUCAUCAAAUGAAAGAAUAGAACUAUUUAACAAGGAAGAAAGAAGAGGAUACAUUUCUACUUUACAUGAUAGAAAAUAUGAAGAACCCAAAUUCUCGAUAACCGGUACACUAAAAUUUCAGUGGAGAAGAAUACAAUUUGGCUCUUCCGGUCUCUACUCUCUCUAUAGCACGGAACGUGCAGCCCUCCAACCAGCAGAAUAUGUAUAGUCUUCUCUCUAACAUCACAGCAGAAGUGGGCAAAUCAAUUGAUGUAGGAAGAAGACAUUAGUCCCUGCAAAACAAAAGCAAAAGGUUAAAAUGUCUCUGGCAUCGCAAACUUACAAGUGAUGAUGCAAAGGUUAUGAUGUCUUCUGAAAUUAUCUAGAAAUUAAAUGUUCAUAAUAUAAAUUCCAGCUUAUGUUAAAUUCAAAACUAAAAUUGGCGCGUUCACCAAAAUCAAUGAAAAUCUUCAUUUAUCCAAUAGCAAAGGUUCUUCAGGUCACUGGUGUUGGCAGCAGUUUUUAUCCAUUAGAAAACUAAAAACCUUGCGGGUCAUAAUCAAUAAACGGAAUCAGUAGGACCCUUCCCCAAUAGGCCAAUUCCAUAUCUAGGCUUUUAUUCCAAGAAAAAAAACUCCCAAAUCAAAUAUCUACCAUAAAAUGGUGUACGAGGCACACUAAAUCUCCUAAUGUCCUGGUCAACCAUGGAAGAGAAUGGCAAAUUUCAAUCAGAAAGAAGUCUGCGUCAUCUUAAUGAGCAGACUAGCUUGAAACAAAUAUUCAGAAGAUGAUCUUGAUUUGAGCAAUCCCCAUUCAGGAUUGAUGCAAAACCAAGCCUCACAAAGACAUUAGAAUUCUGCCCCAGUUCUUUAUUUCAAGUAUCAGAUACAUGACAUGACUAAUUUUGGGACAUCCAUUCAAUCAAAGUAAUGAAAGAGAUAUUUUGAUGAUGAAAUGAGUUUGCUUGAUUUUACAUGAUAGUAAGCAUCUAUACUACUAGUCAGCAAUGAGAAGUAAUACAUAACCAUGCAUGCUAAAAACUGCACCAUAGAUGCACAGAAGCAUAAGCUGAAAAUGUAAAGCAAAUUUUCCAAGAGAAUAAAUCCAAGUAACAAUGCAGAGGAGAUGUUGAAUAAUUGAAAGAGGAAAUUAAGAGGGUUAUCUCUGCCAAAGCAAUGGAAUUCACAACCCUUUACAGAAACUUCCAUUCAAAAUGCAUAUCGUUUCAUCUUCUUGUGUUUCCAAUUAACAUAUAUACAUAAAAUAACACAUAAAUGCAGAAUACGGAUAAUGUAAAAUAAGGGGAUUGUGACUCUACGACAUGAUUUUGAAAAUUUGCAGCAGCACAACAACAGCAGCCAAGCCUUAGCCACAAACUAGUUGGGAAUUUGCACAAAUACACAAAAUCUUUUGUUUCCUUAUGGCUCUAUGCUAGAUAUAGAUAAUACUAAACUGAAUUCAAAAUGUCCUUUAGUAUCCUAAAGGGUUAAAAUCAAUCUUAAAUGACAAGAAGAAAAUGCCAAUUCAUUUUGUUUGGAAUGCAAAAAUAUCAUGCAAUUCAUCAUCCAACCUAAAUAAAAUCUGCAAGCUCCUGUGAGUUUCAGAACCAAUGAGAAGAUAAUGCAACUGCUAAAAGCAAUAUAUCGAACCAGAAUAAAGUGACUUCGAGACCAAAAAUACAACAAUAAUGGUUUUAGCUACCUUCUUAGUUCCAUCAGAUGCAGUGCAAACACCUUCCAAAGAUAUUGCCUCAAAUUCUGCGUGUUCACUCAACAUUUUCCCAAAAUCCUUAUUCAAACCUGAAUAAGGUUAUCAAAGACAAAAUUCAUAAGGCUCAGCAUGUCUCUCUUGUUGGAAGAGAGAUUCAAUUUUGCACAUAGACAGGGACAUCAAAGGGAGAUAAAAUCAUUUAGCUCACUGAAAAGGCUAUAAAACCGGACAAUAGCAUUUCAGAGACAAGGUGCUGUAAGAAUACCUUCUAGCUCAUCAACAUAAUGCGCUCAAAUAUUUUCCCCAUAAAGACGCUUCCACAGCAUCAUAGCUUGACCAGGUCUGAAUCCAUGAGAUUGAACCCAUUUCUGGCAUAGUGGAUUCCCACAAUUAUUACUUGGAAAACUUGAACAUAAAUUCUCAUGUUUGGAAUAUUAGAAUUCAUUUUGAAUUUCUAGUCUAGCUAGCUUGUACCACAGUUUAAAAUUAUAUACUUUUUUGAGUUUAGCAUAGGAAGAAAGACUUUUCUCUGCCAUGUGCACGUCUUGUCUGUCAUGUGCAUGCCUUUGAAACAUUGAAUUUUUGUCUUCCACUCACAAGCCUUGGAUACCGUCCACUAUGUGCACGCCUUGCUCUUUGUCGCCAUGAAACCAUCACUAUCUUCCAUCUUUUCCAGAUCUUGUUUAUUCCAUCAACCCAACGAAACCAUAACUCUUUCCUCUUGCCUGAAUUGUUUCCGUUUCAGCCAUGGAAGAUAAUUUUGCUCACCUUUCUAUAGAUGAGGAGGAGGAGACUGGACUUUCCCUUCCUACUCCUACUCAUAAUCCUCCAGUUGAUCCGUAUAAUUUCUGUUUGGUUGGCAUGUUUCUCACUUAUAGCAGAGUCAACUUUGAGGCUAUGAAACACACGCUAGCAGAUCUCUGGCAUCCUUUAGGCGGAAUGGAUAUUCAGGAAGUGGGAGCCAAACGUUUUCUCUUCCGUUUCUACAAUGUGGUUGAUAUGGACAGGGCUAUCUCUGGUAGUCCUUGGUUCUUUAAUAAACAUCUUCUUGUUUGGCAACAGAUCCAAAGUGGUGAAAACCAGUUGGAGAUCCCUUUAUUGUUUGCUGACAUUUGGGUCCAAAUUAGAGAUGUUCCGAAUGGAAUUGUGGGUGAAGGUACAGCUAGAGCGUUGGGUGAUUCCCUUGCCGUAAACCUCUUCCGGGGACAAUAGAUCCAACAGUAUUCCCAUUAACAAUAACUGAAUAUUUUACGGAAGUCAUACACAUCUUCAUCCAAUUUACCCACAUAGCACAGAACCCCAUUUUCUCAAGCAUGGCACAAACAUACGCCCAACAAACUUUGUCAUAGGCUUUACUGAUGUCAAUUUUCAGUGCACAAUUUCCACAUCUACUUUUACUUGGCUUCUUAAGAUGAUGCAUCAUUUCAAAGGAGAUUAAAAUAUUAUCAGUGAUAAGCCGUCCAGGUAUAAAAGCAGACUGAUAGCAAGAGAUAAUAUUUGGUAACACAAAUUUUAAUCGGUUCGUUAGGAUUUUAGACACAAUCUUGUAGAGCACGUUACACAAAGAAAUAGGUCUAAAAUCAGUGACCAAUUCUGGUCUAUCUUUCUUAGGGAUCAAAACAAUUAAGGUAUCAUUUAGAGAUUCCGGGAAAAUACCUUGUUGCAGCCAAUGGUUACAGGCAGUUACCAAAUCCCCACCAAUUAAAGGCCAGAAUUUCUGAUAGAAAGCAGGGUUCAAACCAUCCGGGCCGGGUGCUUUAUGAAGACCCAUUUGAAAAACUGCUGCUUUUGCUUCGUCAAGUGAGAUGGGAGCUGUCAACAUGCAGUUAUCUUCAUCGCUUAUUGUACUGCGGACCAAUCUCAAAAUGGGCUGAAAAUGUGUCAUUAUGCGUAAAGAGAUGAGUGAAAUAGUCAACAAACAGCUGCUGCUUUUCACAUUCCUUUUCAAUCCACUGCCCCGCAGCGUUUUGUAGUUUAUUAAUGGAAUUCNNNNNNNNNNNNNNNNNNNNNNNNNNNNNNNNNNNNNNNNNNNNNNNNNNNNNNNNNNNNNNNNNNNNNNNNNNNNNNCGUCUAGCAUCCUCCUGCGCUAGAAUAUUGCCCCACUCUCUAAUUAAACCUGUGGUAUCGGCAAAAGGAUCAAUCUCUCGAGCAAAAUCUAUAGCACGCUUCAAGCUGUUCUUUUUCUUCCAAAAUCUCGAAUUCCUGUCCAUACCCCAACUGUGCAGUGCGGCUAUACAAGAUUUUUUACGGAGCAUUAUAUCAGACCCCAUGGAGGAGGACCAACUGUCUCGAACUAUCCCAACCAGAUCUUCAUCAUGAAGCCAAGCAUUAUCAAAACGAAACCUCCUCUCCUUCCUACAAGGUACCGCACCCUCAACCGUCGAAACUAACAAUGGGUCAUGGUCCGAUGUUGGUGAAACCAAUGUAGUCGUAGAAGCUUCCUGGAAUAAACUGGACCAAUAAUUAUUAGCCAUAGCUCGGUCAAGUUUCUCACGGGUGAUAAUUCGGCCAAAUCUUUUUAAUAACCAAGUAAAUUUAUAGCCUUUAGCAGGAAUAUCACAUAAAUCACUCUCCACUGCCGCCUCCUUAAAACCAUUCAACAAGUAUCUAGGAUAUUGGUUUCCACCAAUCUUCUCUGAAUCAGCCAAUAGAUUAUUAAAAUCCCCAACACAUAACCAAGGACCAUUAUGUCUACGGGAUAAAGUUUUAAUCAAGUCCCAAGAGUCCUGCCUUCUACAUCUUUCUGGAAACCCAUAAAAACCAGUUAGGCACCAAGAAAUACCAGAAGAAAGAACCAUAGCAUCAAUAAAAUUAUUUGAGUAACAAGAUAUGGAAACAUCAACUUCACUCUUCCAAAGCAAACCAAGACCACCACUUCUCCCAAUACAAUCCACAGAAAAGCAAGAAUCAAAACGCAACAAAGAACAAAGAUCAACAAGCUUCAUUUUAUGAACUAAAGUUUCACAAAGGAACAAAAUAACAGGGCGGUAAAUUGCAACAAAGUCCCAUAGAGCUUGUACUGUCCGAGGGUUGCCAAGUCCUCGACAGUUCCACGAGAGGAUCUUCAUUUCUUCCGGCCAUCCUGCUUCACAGGAUCAACCGAUGUAUGUUUCUCCGACUGAUUGAUGGUCGAAAUGGUACCAGAUGCAGAAUCAUUUUGAGUAGAAACUGCAGCGGUGCUAUGAGUGGUAGGAAGAAUUCGUUGUCUUUUUUUAUUCUCAUCACUGAUACAUAAAGCCACAUCUUCAACUCCGCCCUCUUCAGAAAAAUCAGCUUCCAUUGUAUCGGAGUUAUUGCCUUCGUCAAGAUUUGAAGAUGUACCAUAAAAGGAGUUACGAAAAUUUCUCACCACAGUGUUAUCUCCUUCCAAAACGGAUGUUGAAUUACUAAGUGUCCAAUCUGCUGAAAUGUCAGCGACACCAAAGGAUCGGAUCCAGGAACUCUGUCGUCUCGCUCCACGCCGCACCGGAGCACGAAUACUAUCAUCCCAGGCCAAAAUCAGUUCCUCUCUUGGUUUAGAUAACCGAAGAUCACAGAAUGACUCUGUAUGACCAAUGCGGCCACAGAGAAAGCAAAUCGUGAAAACCUUCUCAUAUUGAAAACGAACAUAAUAAACCUCUCCAGACAGAGCAAUUAAUUUCUUUUUACGUUUGAGAGGCUUCCUAAUAUCCAGUUUUACUUUGAUGCGAAGGAAUUCAAAAACAGCCUCCAUAGAUGUCUUAAAAUCACCCAACGCUCUAGCUGUACCUUCACCCACAAUUCCAUUCAGAACAUCUCUAAUUUGGACCCAAAUGUCAGCAAACAAUAAAGGGAUCUCCAACGGGUUUUCACCACUUUGGAAGGGAAAGUCCAGUCUCCUCCUCCUCAUCUACAGAAAGGUGAGCAAAAUUAUCUUCCAUGGCUGAAACGGAAACAAUUCAGGCAAGAGGAAAGAGUUAUGGUUUCGUUGGGUUGAUGGAAUAAACAAGAUCUGGAAAAGAUGGAAGAUAGUGAUGGUUUCAUGGCGACAAAGAGCAAGGCGUGCACAUAGUGGACGGUAUCCAAGGCUUGUGAGUGGAAGACAAAAAUUCAAUGUUUCAAAGGCAUGCACAUGACAGACAAGACGUGCACGUGACUCUACAACAUGAUUUUGAAAAUUUGCAGCAGCACAACAGCAGCAGCCAAGCCUUAGCCACAAAUUAGUUGGGAAUUUGCACGAAUACACAAACUUUUUUUUUUUUUUCUUAUGGCUCUAUGCUAGCUAUAGAUAAUACUAAACUGAAUUCAAGAUGUCCUUUAGUAUCCUAAAGGGUUAAAAUCAAUCUUAAAUGACAAGAAGAAAACGCCAAUUCAUUUUGUUUGGAAUGCAAAAAUAUCAUGCAGUUACCCCAACAGUAGCACAAGAUAUUUCAUAUGGCCAAACAUAUUAUCAAAUAUCAAAUAAAACUGAGAAAGGAAAAUGUUUAUCUAACCUGUCAUUUACUCCUGCAAGCAUCACAUACUCGAACAAAGCUUUGUAAUUCUUUCUGGACUGGAGUCCCUUCCGAAGGGUGUCAAGAAGCGAGCCUAAAUUGUAUUUCCGGUUAAUUUGCAUGAUCCAGUUUCUUACCUGCAUGGUUUAUUAGUUAAAGAGAAAGUCAACAACCUGGAUGUGUUUCUCAAGUGAAUAAACAUAUGGAUAUAAAUGAAAAUGCACCUCAUCAGCUGUCGCAUUCAGACUAACAGCCAAAGCACAAUUGAAUUCAUGGAGGAAACGUUUCAACUGGGGGACAAGCCCGCUUGUAGAAAUAGUGACCCUGCGAGGACUAAAAUGAAGACCCUGCUCAUGCACCAUAAUAUCGGCAGCUUUUAUGACAUUUUCAAUGUUCUGAAGUGGUUCUCACAUUCCCUGCAAAUACAUAUUUCAAAGCGAAUUAUUAGAAAUUAUUGGGCUAACUAAAAAUCUAUUUUCUCUCACUUAAACCAAGAUCUUUGAAAAAUAGGGAUUAAUACUUCAUGGAUGUAAUAACUCUCCUUCAAAUAUCUAAUAGAGCUAGACUAGAGACACUUCACCAAACAAAAAUCCAUUGCAAUAGCUGCAGCAAAAGGAAUACAGAAACAUACAAGGGUUAGAAGGGUGUAAAUGUCCAUAGGUAGUGGAUAUGCAAUCCAGGAAUAGUAUUGUUGAAUGGUUGGACAAGUAUUCCAAUCAAUGAAUAAGGAAACACAUGGACUUAAUUCCUCAAAUUAUGUGUUUUUCUAUGUGACCAGGGAAUGCAUAACGACGACAAAACGAAUGAAAUUUUUCUAUUUAUGUUCUCGAUAGAUAGUGAAAAUAACAUUGAAUUAUUAGAUGCCUUAGUACUGGACUGAGCAAAGUCACUAACUGAGCCAAAUCUGAACUGAUUGGAAAAACUUCUGUGAAUAGAAAAUUUUCUAGAUCACAGACUUACCAU